UACAUAGAUUGGUACCUAUCA
rnacentral:miRNA from 1 species